UGCUACUGAUCUUAGCGGCGGACGGGUGAGUAAUGCUUAGGAAUCUGCCUAUUAGUGGGGGACAACAUUUCGAAAGGAAUGCUAAUACCGCAUACGUCCUACGGGAGAAAGCAGGGGAUCUUCGGACCUUGCGCUAAUAGAUGAGCCUAAGUCGGAUUAGCUAGUUGGUGGGGUAAAGGCCUACCAAGGCGACGAUCUGUAGCGGGUCUGAGAGGAUGAUCCGCCACACUGGGACUGAGACACGGCCCAGACUCCUACGGGAGGCAGCAGUGGGGAAUAUUGGACAAUGGGCGCAAGCCUGAUCCAGCCAUGCCGCGUGUGUGAAGAAGGCCUUAUGGUUGUAAAGCACUUUAAGCGAGGAGGAGGCUACUUUAGUUAAUACCUAGAGAUAGUGGACGUUACUCGCAGAAUAAGCACCGGCUAACUCUGUGCCAGCAGCCGCGGUAAUACAGAGGGUGCAAGCGUUAAUCGGAUUUACUGGGCGUAAAGCGCGCGUAGGCGGCUAAUUAAGUCAAAUGUGAAAUCCCCGAGCUUAACUUGGGAAUUGCAUUCGAUACUGGUUAGCUAGAGUGUGGGAGAGGAUGGUAGAAUUCCAGGUGUAGCGGUGAAAUGCGUAGAGAUCUGGAGGAAUACCGAUGGCGAAGGCAGCCAUCUGGCCUAACACUGACGCUGAGGUGCGAAAGCAUGGGGAGCAAACAGGAUUAGA
rnacentral:rRNA from 1 species